rnacentral:rRNA from 1 species
AGUGAACGCUGGCGGUAGGCCUAACACAUGCAAGUCGAACGGCAGCACAGUAAGAGCUUGCUCUUACGGGUGGCGAGUGGCGGACGGGUGAGGAAUACAUCGGAAUCUACUUUUUCGUGGGGGAUAACGUAGGGAAACUUACGCUAAUACCACAUACGACCUACGGGUGAAAGCAGGGGAUCUUCGGACCUUGCGCGAUUGAAUGAGCCGAUGUCGGACUAGCUAGUUGGCGGGGUAAAGGCCCACCAAGGCGACGAUCCGUAGCUGGUCUGAGAGGAUGAUCAGCCACACUGGAACUGAGACACGGUCCAGACUCCUACGGGAGGCAGCAGUGGGGAAUAUUGGACAAUGGGCGCAAGCCUGAUCCAGCCAUACCGCGUGGGUGAAGAAGGCCUUCGGGUUGUAAAGCCCUUUUGUUGGGAAAGAAAAGCAGCAGGUUAAUACCCCGCUGUUCUGACGGUACCCAAAGAAUAAGCACCGGCUAACUUCGUG